CAGUAGCCACGGUAAUACGUAGGGUGCAAGCGUUAAUCGGAAUUACUGGGCGUAAAGCGUGCGCAGGCGGUUUGUUAAGACAGAUGUGAAAUCCCCGGGCUCAACCUGGGAACUGCAUUUGUGACUGGCAAGCUAGAGUGUGGCAGAGGGGGGUGGAAUUCCGCGUGUAGCAGUGAAAUGCGUAGAUAUGCGGAGGAACACCGAUGGCGAAGGCAGCCCCCUGGGCCAACACUGACGCUCAUGCACGAAAGCGUGGGGAGCAAACAGGAUUAGAUACCCCCGAGUCCCUGUCUCUUAUACA
rnacentral:rRNA from 1 species